CUGACACCAGGGCACAGAAAAACACAGAGGCAGCCUGGGUCCCUCCUUCUGGAGUGGUCAGUGGACCUCCCUGACCUCCCCAGCACCCUAGUCCAGAUGAGAAGGCUGCUUUCUUUCUGCCACCCCAGGGAGGAGCAGGCCUGAGGUUGUGCCUGUGUCGUCUGGAGCAGAAGUUUGUGCAGAGGCAGGUAAAUGGGAAGGAGACCCACCAACCAGUAGGCUGCAGCCCAGAGGAACGAGGCGCAGAAGCACCGCCUCAGGCUUCAGAAGCUGUGGGAGUCCAGGAAGUAGAAAUGAAGAAGCUGGUGUGCUCUGGAGUCUGAGAUUUCUGCCCUGGGAAUCAGAAUUCGGGGGCACCAGGUAGGGAAUCUCUGUCAACUCUGGAGACAACACCUUUCAGAACAGGGACCC
rnacentral:lncRNA from 1 species